AGUGCCAGGGUAAGAACUGUGCUCUCUUAUAAUUUUGUUGCUGUAUUUACUACUUUAGGAUUGGAUUUUUCCACUAGUUCAAUUUGAAAGAAAGCUUACCGUCCAGGAUGUCCACUUUAUGAUGGGUGGGAGGAGUGCACAUAAUUGGGAGACACAUAAAGAAGGGGAGAAGGAACCAAACUGUUUUCUAAGGAUCCAGCGUCUACGAAAAGAAAUUUCCGUUUCCCUCCAACCGCCCCCACCUGGACUCUCCUCCUGGCCACCCAAACGCUGUAGUUACUAAGCAAAAGGAUGGACUUCUUUAACUUUGAUUUCAAAGGACUGAGGCGCCGCGUUUGAGGCUCGGUUUUAGGCUCCGGGCUGGCUUGGAGUCAGCACCAGUGACGUACACACCUAAAUCUGGUCCCCGGCCCGCGGCGACCCGUAGCCCGGCGCCGGCAGCUGUGCAGCCUCCCGCCUCACCCUUGGCCCGCACUCCACGUAAGUCGGAAGGUGGGGGAAGCGUGCACCCCGUGCCCAGAGGCCCCUCCUCGCCUUACAGUUCAUUAAGCUUAGGGAUUUCAGACCCCGAACGCAAGAAGACUCGAACUCCCAGCCGCUUCAGUCAACUGUGAACACCUACACCAUGUGAGAAUAACUAGCUUGUGGCCAUCCGGAGAGGGAAUACAUUCCCUAUGUGAGCCGACAUGCUGUGGAACAGAGAUGGUGUACACAGAAAGCUUACUAAACUCAGAGAAAGUGGCAUCUUGGAACCAACCGAGCCUUACCUUCCUGACCACAGUGCCGGUUCCAGGCAUGGGCAUUGGAUUCAAGCCAGCCCAAAUCCUUCUCUUGAUAGUUGGAGCUUCAGCAAGAGGUCGGAUCCUUUUCUCCAUAGGAGGAAAACUGGGAAUCUGCUGAGUCACCGCUGUCCCUGGGUAGAGAAAGCUGAUUGCUUAGAAGAAGCCAAUCUAUAGAAAGAAGCAGAGAUCAGGAACAGAAAAUUCUGAUGGUAUUCGAACCCCUGGUUCUUGUUUCUGAGAAAUCCCCCUGAAAGCUUGCCACCCCCACUGCCUCCCAAAGCAUAUUUGUUAGAGCUUUUUUUUUUAAUUUUUUUUAUUUUGAUUGAAUAAGUCAAAACCCUGGAGUCUGACAAUCCAGCAUUUCCAGCACCCAGUCAGCCUUAUCGUGCUUCUAAAUUCUCAAUUGAGAGCUGCCUUCUCCCAGAUGCCAAGCUCAUUUUUUUUCCCUCUGUGGUUUUCUUGCAAUUAUUCUCUUACCUUGAAUGACCUCUUGCCUUCUCUCCCUGCAAUACUAAUUCUAGCCUUUCUUUAAAGUCCAACUCAAGAUGUAUCUCCUCUAUUACAACUGUUCUUGAUUGAUUCUUUUCUUCUCUGAACUGCUGUGGCCCUUCUAUCCCCAGCUUUUGCCAUGCUGCCUGAAACGUAUUUCUUUUUCUGCCUUGGUUUGUUCGUUUGCGUGUUUUCUAUGCUAGGGAAUUUUGUGUUUUGUGUAAUACUUACAAACGUAACUGCCUUGAAGAAACAGUGUCUUCCCCUUUGUUCAUCAGCACCUUGAUGUGUUUGAACAUGACAGUUUGGGGCGAGGACUGAGGGAGAAUUGAAUUGGCCUCCAUCAAAAAGAAAGGAGACUAUGAGGCUCUUGCAAGCAAUUCCAGAAAGGAGAAAGGAGGAGGAGAGAGGGGAGCGGGACAGGAGGGGAGAGCAGCGCAGCGAAGCAGGAGAAGUUUGUGUGCAGCCCAACGUGAUUGUUCUCCUGGAUUCUCAAUGGCUCAAGAAAUUAAAAUACUCUCAUGAAACGUGUGGAGAGCAUGUAUAUGUUAUGGAAACUGGUGAAGGGAUAGGGAUGAGCACAGAGAUCACCAUGGGGGAAGCCCAGAAGCCACACACAUGGAUACGUGUGCUACAGACAGAGUGACCAUGAACGAGACGCGCUCCUAGGGAUCUGCAGGAAGCAAGAGAAGAGUUUUCAACUUCAACCAGGUCUGGAUUUGGAGUUCAAGCCACGGGGCAGGAAGUCCCAGGGAACAGCUGGGCUAUGAGUGCUUGUUAGUUUAGUAUUAGACACAUCAAUCUUGCCUCGCCACGUUAUGUUUCAUGACACAGGGACCGUGCUGUCUUCGGCCUCAGAGCCUCUUAGGCUGUGUCAACCUCCAAGUAACUGUUUUCAUCGUUUGUCUCUUUAAUUUCCAAUGCUUCCUUUAUAUCGAUGGUAGGGUGAUAACUCAAUUCUCUGCUCUAUGGUAAAAGGGGGAGGAGGAAGAGGAAGAAAGGAGAGCAGGAGGAUCAUCUGGUCUUGGUCUUUGCAGGCAUGUUAAACGCCACUGCUGGUGAACCAGCUCCUCCAUUAUCUGGCCUCACCUGAUUUAUCUGACCUCGUCUCCUCUUACCCACCAUGAUUGGCUUUUCCAGGAAUGCUGAGUUCCUCUCUGUCUACGCACAUGGCAUGGAGUCUCAUCUCAGUGUUUUAUUUUUUUUUUUCAUGCUGUUGUCCUCACCUAAAACACUUUCCAUUCUCUCUACCUACCAAAUUCCAACACAAGACGCAGUUCCUCCAGGGAGCCUAUUAUGACCGCCCAUCACUCUCCAGUUAUUUUUCUUUUCUGAGCUUUAAUUACAUUUAUAGUUUGUACCAUGCCACAUAGCACUGAUUAUUGCUCUAGUGAUUUUAUGAUUGUUAAUCUUCUUAUAAGCAGCGGGAGGACUGACAGAGUGAUUUUAUAGUUUUGAUUCAGUGGGAGCUCAGGACUCAGUUAAGUGUUUAAGAAGUCCCUCCCCUAAGUGGGCUCACAAAGGGCAGGGGUUGUGUUUGGUCUCCUUCCUCUUCCCCCAGUGCUAGAACAUUGCCUGGUAAACAGUGGGUACUCAAUGAAUAUUUGUUUCAUAAUGAAUGAAUAUCAAUCUACCAACCUUUAUGAUUCCAAGUAGCUAAGACCAGUCUUUUUACUUUGUCUUUUUCCCCUAAUGUUUAAGGCAUCUUUUAUAACUCUCUUGAAUCUAAUAACUGUACUUCCUUUGUUGGAUGACUCAGUCUUUCAGGUAAUUUCAGAUGCUGCUAUUGAGCUCCUUUCAUGUGGCAUCAGUCAUUCUUAAAGCACUGAACUUACUUAAAUGACAUUUGUGUCAAAUUUAGUCUCUUUAUAUGGAAAGACACAACAAGGGAACUAGGCAUAUGCAUAGCCUGCUCCUUCACUCCCAUAAUCCUUUGAGUGUGUCAUAAUAUUGAAAAAGUAGAAUUUGGGCAAGUAUAUGGUAAAAAAUAAUCUCUCGAGACAUACCAUGUUCAUAAAUGGAAAUAUUCAAUAUCAUAAAGUUAUCAAUUGUCCCUAGAUUAAUAUGUCAAAAUAUGAUACAAUUCCAAU